rnacentral:rRNA from 2 species
UGGGGAAUUUUGCGCAAUGGGGGAAACCCUGACGCAGCGACGCCGCGUGGAGGAUGACGGCCUUCGGGUUGUAAACUCCUGUCAGAAGGGACGAAAUCCCGCAAGGGACUGACGGUACCUUCAGAGGAAGCCCCGGCUAACUACGUGCCAGAAGCCGCGGUAAUACGUAGGGGGCAAGCGUUGCUCGGAAUUACUGGGCGUAAAGGGUGAGUAGGCGGUCGAGCAAGUCAAGGAUGAAAUCCCGAGGCCCAACUUCGGAAUUGUUCUUGAAACUGCUCGGCUUGAGGGUAGUUGAGGAGAGUGGAAUUCCCGGUGGAGCGGUGAAAUGCGUAGAUAUCGGGAGGAACACCUGAGGCGAAGGCGGCUCUCUAAACUACUCCUGACGCUGAAUCACGAAAGCUAGGGGAGCAAACGGG